rnacentral:lncRNA from 1 species
UGUUUUUAUUUGCAUUUCUAAUUGCCUGUGACGCUGAGGAUUUAAGCAUGUAUUUUUGGCCUUUUUUCCUUCUUCUGUUAAGUAUCUAUUCAUUUCAUUUGACCAUUUUAUGAUUUGGUUUUUUAUUUUGGGGGGCUCCAAUUUUUUUAGUUCUUUAUAUAGUCUGGAUAUGAGUCCCCUGUCUCUGUAACAUUGUUUCCCAUCUGUCUUUUCUCUGUUGGUUGUUUAUUUUGCUGUGCAGAAGCUCUUUAAUUUAAUAUGAUCCCAUUUGUUGAUUAUUGGAACUAUUUCUUAUUCAACUGGGGUUCUGUUCAGAAAGUCCUUGUCUAUACCUAUGUAAAAUUCACACAUCAUGUAACUCCAUGUAGACACAGUUUAAAGUGCGCACUUCAGUGGCUUUUGUCCAUUCACAGAGCUGGGCAUCAGCCAUCACAAUCUUAGAGGGUCUGAGUCACCCCAGAGAGAAGGCCAGCACCCCUAGCUGUCUCCCCAGUCCUUGCCUCCCCAGCCCCAAGCAAACACCAACCCACUCUGUCUGCAGAUUUUCUCAGGCCGUUUGGGCUUUCCUAUCUGGCUUGUCUCGCCAGCACCUCUUUGCCAGGGGUCACCUGUGUGCAGCUCCAGUCAGAAUGGGGUUCAGCUUCCCUGGCUGCAUUAUAACGCAUUGUGUGAAUCUGCCACAUUCUCUGCCUCCAUCCACCCACCAGUUUAGGGACAUCUUGAGUGCCCCAUGAUGCCUUUGAGCCAUUUAUCCUCGUCCACAUUUCUCUCCUGCUGGAACUACUCACCACCAGCUGAGCCUCCUUUUGCUCAAAAAUCCAAAAUCCAACCAUCAAUUCUUCCAAGGCUCCUGAGGAUCCGAUGCCCCUGCUCCUCUCUGUGCCCCCAGUACCUUGGGAUGGAGCCGCCAGGCUUAAAUCCACACAGGACACGGGCUGUUCCGAGCAACACUGCUUCCCGUCAGAGGUGACAUGGAGAGACAGUCUCUCCAGGGGUCUCCCAGAGCCGACUCUGUCCUGCUCCUGUCUAGUGGUCUGAGGAAUUUGCCUUGCAGGGACCCUGCACUUCCGCUUCCAGGUGUGAACCCCAGAGCUCUGUUACCUCUGUCCGCUCCUGCAGCCUCCAGCUCCUCCCCAGGGAGAGCCCCUUGAGCUGAUUAGGAGUGAGGACCCAGCCCCGCCCCAGGUUUGUGAGUCAGAAUCUCCAAUGUCACUGGAGCCUUAGAAGAUGGUACUCGGCUGAGUAUGGGAAGCAUCGCAUUGGGAAUGGGGGGCAGGCUCACAGUGGGGUGAUCAGAACCACUGCAGGUACCACCUGAGAGCAGAAGGGAGACGUGGACUGUGGCACUUGCCCACAGUGCAAUGGCCCACAGCGGCAGCGACAACGUUCACUCUGAAGUGGCUAAUUCUGGGCUGAAUUGCGGCUCAGCUGCAGAGCUCUGGCCUCUUAUGCAUGAGGACCUGGGUUCCAUUCUCACCACCAUAAGAAGAAAACAAAUUGGGUUAAGUCUGUGUUGGAUGAAUAUCAUCAAUCUAAAUCAAUAAAUAAAAUGUCAGACAAAAAGAUACAUUUCUAUUAUGCUUUCCGAAGGUAACAGGGUAAGGGGAGCAUGGUG